rnacentral:ncRNA from 1 species
AUAGCUGGGGGAGCUGACGCUGAGAGUGCGGUUCUGAAAAGCCGCAGACCCUUAAUUACCUGAUCCGGAUAAUGCCGGCGCAGGGAAGCG